GCCUUCGUGGCGCAAUGGUCAGCACGCUCGGUUCGUAUUCGAGAGGCCCGUGGUUCGAGUCCCGGCGAGGACA
rnacentral:tRNA from 1 species